CCGCCCUCUUGAACACGUCCUAAAACGCGCUUCCGCCCUCUUCUCCCUCUCUCAGUGUCUCUGCCAUCCUGAGCGUGGUGUUGCUCCGACUUCACCAUGUCAUCUCAUAAGACUUUUAGGAUCAAGAGAUUCCUGGCCAAGAAACAGAAACAGAAUCGGCCCAUUCCCCAAUGGAUUCGAAUGAAAACCGGUAAUAAAAUCAGGUACAACUCCAAGAGAAGACAUUGGAGAAGAACCAAGCUGGGUCUGUAAGGAGGGAUGGCACGCAUGACCGCAUUUUCCCAGUCUCAAAUCAUGUUGUGUUGCAUUAAGACUUUCGUCCCCAUCUGAUCAAAUGAUCUUUUAUUGGCAAAUCUGAUUUAUUCGUUUUUUGCUUCCUCAUCAAGUCUAACAAUAAAUAAUGUAAGGCUUUUGGUUUGAA